rnacentral:miRNA from 1 species
UAUGACACUCAAGUGCGCGAGG